rnacentral:rRNA from 1 species
CGUUCCCUUCGGGGACAUGGAUACAGGUGGUGCAUGGUUGUCGUCAGCUCGUGUCGUGAGAUGUUGGGUUAAGUCCCGCAACGAGCGCAACCCUUAUUAUCAGUUGCCAGCAUUAAGUUGGGCACUCUGGUGAGACUGCCGGUGACAAACCGGAGGAAGGUGGGGAUGACGUCAAAUCAUCAUGCCCCUUAUGACCUGGGCUACACACGUGCUACAAUGGAUGGUACAACGAGUUGCGAACUCGCGAGAGUAAGCUAAUCUCUUAAAGCCAUUCUCAGUUCGGAUUGUAGGCUGCAACUCGCCUACAUGAAGUCGGAAUCGCUAGUAAUCGCGGAUCAGCAUGCCGCGGUGAAUACGUUCCCGGGCCUUGUACACACCGCCCGUCACACCAUGAGAGUUUGUAACACCCAAAGUCGGUGGGGUAACCUUUUAGGAACCAGCCGCCUAAGGUGGGACAGAUGAUUAGGGUGAAGUCGUAACAAGGUAGCCGUAGGAGAACCUGCGGCUGGAUCACCUCCUUU